GACGAACGCUGGCGGCGUGCUUAACACAUGCAAGUCGAACGGAAAGACUCCAGCUUGCUGGAGUACUCGAGUGGCGAACGGGUGAGUAACACGUGGGUAAUCUGCCCUGCACUCUGGGAUAAGCCUGGGAAACUGGGUCUAAUACUGGAUAUGACCUUUCUCCUUAUGGGGUUUGGUGGAAAGUUUUUCGGUGUAGGAUGAGCCCGCGGCCUAUCAGCUUGUUGGUGGGGUGAUGGCCUACCAAGGCGACGACGGGUAGCCGGCCUGAGAGGGUGAUCGGCCACAUUGGGACUGAGAUACGGCCCAGACUCCUACGGGAGGCAGCAGUGGGGAAUAUUGCACAAUGGGCGGAAGCCUGAUGCAGCGACGCCGCGUGAGGGAUGACGGCCUUCGGGUUGUAAACCUCUUUCAGCAGGGACGAAGCGUAAGUGACGGUACCUGCAGAAGAAGCACCGGCUAACUACGUG
rnacentral:rRNA from 1 species